rnacentral:rRNA from 1 species
AUUGAACGCUGGCGGCAUGCCUUACACAUGCAAGUCGAACGGUAACAGGUCUUCGGAUGCUGACGAGUGGCGAACGGGUGAGUAAUACAUCGGAACGUGCCCGAUCGUGGGGGAUAACGGAGCGAAAGCUUUGCUAAUACCGCAUACGAUCUACGGAUGAAAGCAGGGGACCGCAAGGCCUUGCGCGGACGGAGCGGCCGAUGGCAGAUUAGGUAGUUGGUGGGAUAAAAGCUUACCAAGCCGACGAUCUGUAGCUGGUCUGAGAGGACGACCAGCCACACUGGGACUGAGACACGGCCCAGACUCCUACGGGAGGCAGCAGUGGGGAAUUUUGGACAAUGGGCGAAAGCCUGAUCCAGCCAUGCCGCGUGCAGGAUGAAGGCCUUCGGGUUGUAAACUGCUUUUGUACGGAACGAAAGACUCCUUCUAAUAAAGGGGUCCAUGACGGUACCGUAAGAAUAAGACACCGGCUAACUAACGUGCCAGCAGCCGCGGUAAACCUAGUCUACG